rnacentral:tRNA from 1 species
UCCCUCUUAGCUCAGUUGGUAAAGAAUCUGCCUGCAGUGUAGGAGACCUGGGUUCGAUUCCUGGGUAGGGAA